AGACUGCUUGUAUUAAGAACUAGAUAAACACAGUAGAUGAGUAGUAACGCUCUGCUUUUCCUACAGGGGGUCCAUUUGGAACCGAUUGUCCCGGAGAGCAGAGGAUGACCGUGUUGGGUGGAAAGCUGAGAGAGAACCCAGGGGGUCAUUCUGGAGCAGAUUUUCAAGAGACCAAAACAACUCUGGGAACCUCAGUGUCGGCUACUCAAACAACACCACCACUGUAAACUGUGAUACUCAAAUCUCCUAACAACACUUUCCAUCCCCAAAGGAGCCCCGGAGACCUCCUCACUCUGGCAGGUCUGAGGAUCAACGUGUCUAUGGCAACUACUGAGUUCUUCCAGCCAACUUGGAAACAUCACAUGCAUCCAGGACCAUGUUGCUGUUAUUAUUUUACAUUUAAACACAUACUGCACAGUACAUUUUUUGUUUUAUGGGUGGGGAUAUAAUCUGCUUGAAUUUUAAAGAAAAUAUAUCAGCUGUCAAGUAACCGAAUAUGUGUAUC